rnacentral:rRNA from 1 species
ACUCCUACGGGAGGCAGCAGUGGGGAAUUUUGGACAAUGGGGGAAACCCUGAUCCAGCCAUGCCGCGUGUGCGAAGAAGGCCUUCGGGUUGUAAAGCACUUUUGUCAGGAACGAAAAGGUAUGCAUUAAUACUGUGUACCGAUGACGGUACCUGAAGAAUAAGCACCGGCUAACUACGUGCCAGCAGCCGCGGUAAUAC